UUAAACAGGCUAAGCAACUUGGUUCCUCGCAUAACUUUUGGCACAGACAUCUGAGGGCAUGGCCGUCCAAGAAGAAAAUGUAGCCAUUGGUGCCAUCUAUCGACCACAGGUUAAAGAUUGGCGAUCCGUUGGAUGUAGAUCGAGUUAUAGGCAAAAGUUGGUGCAAAAAUGAGGAAAAUUUUACAUUUUCUCAAACAGGGUAAGGAACUUGGUUCCUCGCAUAACUUCUGACACAGACAUCUGAGGGCUUGGCCGUCCACGAAGGAAAUGUAGCCAUUGGUGCCAUCUAUCGACCACAAGCUAAAGAUUGGCGAUCCGUUGGAUACCGACCGAGUUAUAGGCAAAACUUGGGGCAAAAAUGAGCCUUAUGAAAUUUUCAAAUUUAUAGAUUUUUCACAUUUUUUAUUAUUUUUUACUCUUUUUUUUGUUUCAAGCAUUAUUUGAGUGAAAAGAAACUCAUUGCAACCAAUUGGCAUUAAAAUAAAUCAAUUUAAAUUUUUUUGAAAAAUUUCUCAAAAAAAUGGCAAGGGGUACCCCUUAUGAAAUUUUCGAGUUGAAAAUUUUUUGAAAUUUUUUUUCUCAUUUUUUAUUCUUUUUUUAAUUUAAAGCAUUAUUUGAGUGAAAAGAAACUUAUUGCAACAAAUUCGCAAUAAAAAAUAUCACAUUUAAAAAUUUUGCUGAAUUGCAGAAAAAUGAGGAAAAUUUUACAUUUUCUCAAACAGGGUAAGGAACUUGGUUCCUCGCAUAACUUUUGGCACAGACAUCUGAGGGCAUGGCCGUCCAAGAAGAAAAUGUAGCCAUUGGUGCCAUCUAUCGACCACAGGUUAAAGAUUGGCGAUCCGUUGGAUGUAGAUCGAGUUAUAGGCAAAAGUUGGUGCAAAAAUGAGGAAAAUUUUACAUUUUCUCAAACAGGGUAAGGAACUUGGUUCCUCGAAUAACUUCUGACACAGACAUCUGAGGGCUUGGCCGUCCAAGAAGAAAAUGUAGCCAUUGGUGCCAUCUAUCGACCACAAGUUAAAGAUUGGCGAUCCGUUGGAUACCGACCGAGUUAUAGGCAAAACUUGGGGCAAAAAUGAGCCUUAUGAAAUUUUCAAAUUUAUAGAUUUUUCACAUUUUUUAUUAUUUUUUACUCUUUUUUUUGUUUCAAGCAUUAUUUGAGUGAAAAGAAACUCAUUGCAACCAAUUGGCAUUAAAAUAAUUCAAUUUAAAUUUUUUUGAAAAAUUUCUCAAAAAAUAGCAAGGGGUACCCCUUAUGAAAUUUUCGAGUUGAAAAUUGUUUAAAAUUUUUUUUCUCAUUUUUUAUUCUUUUUUUAAUUUAAAGCAUUAAUUGAGUGAAAAGAAACUUAUUGCAAUAAAUUCGCAAUAAAAAAUAUCACAUUUAAAAAUUUUGCUGAAUUGCAGAAAAAUGAGGAAAAUUUUACAUUUUCUCAAACAGGGUAAGCAACUUGGUUCCUCGCAUAACUUUUGGCACAGACAUCUGAGGGCAUGGCCGUCCAAGAAGAAAAUGUAGCCAUUGGUGCCAUCUAUCGACCACAGGUUAAAGAUUGGCGAUCCGUUGGAUGUAGAUCGAGUUAUAGGCAAAAGUUGGUGCAAAAAUGAGGAAAAUUUUACAUUUUCUCAAACAGGGUAAGGAACUUGGUUCCUCGCAUAACUUCUGGCACAGACAUCUGAGGGCAUGGCCGUCCAAGAAGAAAAUGUAGCCAUUGGUGCCAUCUAUCGACCACAGGUUAAAGAUUGGCGAUCCGUUGGAUACCGACCGAGUUAUAGCCAAAAUUUGGUGCAAAAAUGAGCCUUAGUAAAUUUUGAUUUUUUUGAUUUUUUUUAUUUUUUUAUUAUUUUUCACUCUUUUUUUUAUUUCAAGCAUUACUUGAGUGAAAAGAAACACAUUGCAACCAAUUGGCAUUAAAAUAAAUCAAUUUUAGUUUUUUUGCAAAAUUUCUCAAAAAAAACGUAAGGGGUAAACCUUAUGAAAUUUUCGAGUGGAAAUUUUUUUUGAAAUUUUUUUCUUAUUUUUUAUUCUUUUUUUAAUUUAAAGCAUUAUUUGAGUGAAAAGAAACUUAUUGCAACAAAUUCGCAAUAAAAUAUAUCACAUUUAAAAAUUUUGCUGAAUUGCAGAAAAAUGAAGAAAAUUUUACAUUUUCUUAAACAGUGUAAGCAACUUGGUUCCUCGCAUAACUUUUGGCACAGACAUCUGAGGGCAUGGCCGUCCAAGAAGAAAAUGUAGCCAUUGGUGCCAUCUAUCGACCACAAGUUAAAGAUUGGCGAUCCGUUGGAUACCAACCGAGUUAUAGGCAAAACUUGGGGCAAAAAUGAGCCUUAUGAAAUUUUCAAAUUUAUAGAUUUUUCACAUUUUUUAUUAUUUUUUACUCUUUUUUUUGUUUCAAGCAUUACUUGAGUGAACAGAAACUCAUUG